rnacentral:RNase_P_RNA from 1 species
CGAGGCGGCCGGAUGGUCGCGCGCCUGCCGGGAGACCGGCCGGCGCGAGGAAAGUCCGAGCUCUUCAGCGCGGGGUAGCGGGUAACGCCCGUCCGUCGUGAGACGAGGACCAGUGCCACAGAGACGAGUCCGCCCGAUCGGCUUCGGCCGGCGGUCGGAGUGAAACGCGGCAAACUCUACCCGGAGCAAGGCCAAGUAGGAGGACGCAACCCGGUUCGCCGGGGGAGAGGUGCGCUGCCCAGUCCUCGGGUCGGCCGCAUGAACCGUCGGGCGACCGGCGGUCAGAGAUGGAUGGCCAUCACCGCGAGCAAUCGCGGGACAGAACUCGGCUUACAGGCCGCCUCGCUGG